rnacentral:rRNA from 1 species
UACGAAGGGGGCUAGCGUUGCUCGGAAUCACUGGGCGUAAAGGGCGCGUAGGCGGCCUUCUAAGUCGAACGUGAAAUCCCUGGGCUCAACCCAGGAACUGCGUCCGAUACUGGAAGGCUUGAAUCCGGGAGAGGGAUGCGGAAUUCCUGGUGUAGCGGUGAAAUGCGCAGAUAUCAGGAGGAACACCGAUGGCGAAGGCAGGUCUCUGGGCAUUAACUGACGCUGAGGAGCGAAAGCAUGGGGAGCGAACAGG